UACGUAGGGUGCGAGCGUUAAUCGGAAUUACUGGGCGUAAAGCGUGCGCAGGCGGUUUUGUAAGCCAGAUGUGAAAUCCCCGGGCUCAACCUGGGAAUGGCAUUUGUGACUGCAUAGCUGGGGUGCGGCAGAGGGGGAUGGAAUUCCGCGUGUAGCAGUGAAAUGCGUAGAUAUGCGGAGGAACACCGAUGGCGAAGGCAAUCCCCUGGGCCUGCACUGACGCUCAUGCACGAAAGCGUGGGGAGCAAACAGG
rnacentral:rRNA from 1 species